rnacentral:rRNA from 1 species
GACGAACGCUGGCGGCGUGCUUAACACAUGCAAGUCGAACGGAAAGGCCCUGCUUUUGUGGGGUGCUCGUGUGGCGAAAGGGUGAAUAACACGUGAGUAACCUUCCCUUUACUUUGGGAUAACUUCAGGAAACUGGGGCUAAUACCGGAUAGGAUCUCCUGCUGCAUGGUGUGGGUUGGAAAGUUUCGGCGGUUGGGGAUGGACACUCGGGUUCUCAGCGUGUUGGUGGGGUAGUGGCUUACCAAGGCGUUGACGGGUAGCCGGCCUGUGAGGGUGACCGGCCACACUGGUAAAACGGUUCGCACAAGACGCCGACGUGAGGCAACAGUGGGGAAUACUGAAUAAUCGGCGCAAGCCAGAUUUAGUCACGUUGCGUUUGGUUUGAGGGCGUUCAUGUUAAAGACGGGUUGCGUCAGGCAAGAAGUUUGAUUGAUGUUAGUUGGUAUGUAACUACAGGCUAACUCCGUG